rnacentral:hammerhead_ribozyme from 1 species
AUCCAGCUGUCGAGUCUCAAAUAGGACAAAACGUGCGUCAAACUGGAU